AUUGAACGCUGGCGGCAGGCCUAACACAUGCAAGUCGAACGAGUGGCGGACGGGUGAGUAAUGUCUGGGAAACUGCCUGAUGGAGGGGGAUAACUACUGGAAACGGUAGCUAAUACCGCAUACCAUCAGAUGUGCCCAGCUGGGAUUAGCUAGUUGGUGGGGUAACGGCUCACCAAGGCGACGAUCCCUAGCUGGUCUUAUAGGAUGACAAGCCAAAUGGGCACUGAGAAACGGGCCAGACUCCUACGGGGGGCAGCAGUGGGGAAUAUUGCACAAUGGGCGAAAGCCUGAUGCAGCCAUGCCGCGUGUAUGAAGAAGGCCUUCGGGUUGUAAAGUACUUUCAGCGGGGAGGCGUUACCCGAAGAAGAAGCACCGGCUAACUCCGUGCCAGCCGCCGAGUAAUUC
rnacentral:rRNA from 1 species